rnacentral:rRNA from 1 species
UACGGAGGGUGCAAGCGUUAAUCGGAAUUACUGGGCGUAAAGCGCACGCAGGCGGUUUGUUAAGUCAGAUGUGAAAUCCCCGGGCUCAACCUGGGAACUGCAUUUGAAACUGGCAAGCUUGAGUCUCGUAGAGGGGGGUAGAAUUCCAGGUGUAGCGGUGAAAUGCGUAGAGAUCUGGAGGAAUACCGGUGGCGAAGGCGGCCCCCUGGACGAAGACUGACGCUCAGGUGCGAAAGCGUGGGGAGCAAACGGG